rnacentral:rRNA from 1 species
UACGUAGGGUGCGAGCGUUGUCCGGAAUUAUUGGGCGUAAAGAGCUCGUAGGCGGUCUGUCGCGUCGGCUGUGAAAACCCGGAGCUCAACUCCGGGCCUGCAGUCGAUACGGGCAAACUGGAGUGUUGCAGGGGAGACUGGAAUUCCUGGUGUAGCGGUGAAAUGCGCAGAUAUCAGAAGGAACACCGGUGGCGAAGGCGGGUCUCUGGGCCGAUACUGACGCUGAGGAGCGAAAGCGUGGGGAGCAAACAGG